rnacentral:misc_RNA from 1 species
GAUGAAGAACGUAGCGAAAUGCGAUAAGUAAUGUGAAUUGCAGAAUUCAGUGAAUCAUCGAAUCUUUGAACGCACAUUGCGCCCCCUGGUAUUCCGGGGGGCAUGCCUGUCCGAGCGUCAUUACAACCCUCAAGCUCAGCUUGGUGUUGGGCCCCGCCGCCCCGGCGGGCCCUAAAGUCAGUGGCGGUGCCGUCCGGCUCCGAGCGUAGUAAUUCUUCUCGCUCUGGAGGUCCGGUCGUGUGCUCGCCAGCAACCCCCAAUUUUUUUCAGGUUGACCUCGGAUCAGGUAGGGAUACCCGCUGAACUUUAGCAUAUCAAUAAGCGGAGGA